rnacentral:rRNA from 1 species
UACAGAGGGUGCGAGCGUUGUCCGGAAUCACUGGGCGUAAAGGGCGCGUAGGCGGCUUGAUAAGCGUGCGGUGAAAGCCCGGGGCUCAACCCCGGGUCGGCCGUGCGAACUGUCGAGCUGGAGCACUGUAGAGGCAGGUGGAAUUCCGGGUGUAGCGGUGGAAUGCGUAGAGAUCCGGAAGAACACCGGUGGCGAAGGCGGCCUGCUGGGCAGUGGCUGACGCUGAGGCGCGAAAGCUAGGGGAGCAAACAGG